rnacentral:rRNA from 1 species
UACGAACCGUCCAAACGUUAUUCGGAAUCACUGGGCUUAAAGGGUACGUAGGCGGCGCUGUCAGUCGGGUGUGAAAUCCCAGGGCUCAACCCUGGAACUGCGCCCGAUACUGCAGUGCUUGAGGGAGACAGAGGUAAGCGGAACUGAUGGUGGAGCGGUGAAAUGCGUUGAUAUCAUCAGGAACACCGGUGGCGAAAGCGGCUUACUGGGUCUCUUCUGACGCUGAGGUACGAAAGCUAGGGUAGCGAAG